GAAUGAGCACUUUUUAUCCCGGGAAUGAGCACCUUUUAUCUUGGGAAUGAGCACCUUUUAUCCUGGGAAUGAAAGACUUUUUAUCCUGGGAAUGAGCACCUUUUAUCCCGGGAAUGAGCAUCAUUUAUCCUGGAAAUGAGCAUCUUUUAUCCCGGGAAUGAGCACCUUUUAUCUUGGGAAUGAGCACCAUUUAUCCUGGGAAUGAGCACCUUUUAUCCCGGGAAUCAGCACUUUUUGUCCCGGGAUUCAGAACCUUUUAUCCCAGAAAUGAGCAUCUUUUAUCCCAGGAAUGAAACCCUUUUUAUCCCAGGAAUUAGCAUUUUCUUAUCCCGAGAAUGAGCAUCUUUUAUCCCGGGAAUCAGCACCUUUUAUCCCGGGAAUCAGCACUUUUUGUCCCAGGAAUUAAUCAGCACUUUUUAUCGGGGAAUGAGCAGGGCUGGUGGAAAACUGGGAAGGAUUCACACAAAACCAGGGAAUGGCCCUGCCGGGAUCAGCUGGGACAGGGAGAGGGGAAGGGGCUGCACAGGGAAUGGGGGGAAGCACGGAUUCAUCCCGAUUUUCCACCCUCUUUUCAGUGCCACAGAAUGUCCAUCGGGGCUGCCACCUUGGGGUCACUGGGCUGCAGGGCACGAGCAGAGGGGAGGGACCCCCAGCCCCCCUUUCCCAGAGGUGCUCCUGGCUGGGGGAUCACACACAGGGUGACCCCAAGUCGAGGAUUUUGUGCCAAAGGAAAUCCUGGAUGUCCCUGCCUCCCCUCCUGCCCACAGCUUUGGGAUGGGAGGGGACAACCUGACCUGUCCCUUUGCCCUGUUUGAUAGAGGAGUCCCCAAAAAGAUCAGAGGAAUCCUUGAAGGCCCAGGUGCCAUGGACAAGACAGGGAUACAGAGCUCCAACAGGCCAGGGAUGGGAUGUUCCUGCAGCACCAGGAACCUGCGGAAGCAGAGGAGGAGCAGGAAAUGCACGGGCACCACACGGAGCCACAGCUCCCCCCAAAGCUGCCCCCAGCCCCCCUCACCUUCCCUGGGAUGUGGCCAUGGAGAACAGGCAGAUCCCCAGCUCGGAGCAUCCUGGAUAAGGGGGAGAGGUGGGAGCAGAGGGAGAGGAGGCCCUGCUCAGGAGCUUGGAAUCUUUGGCUUUUGGGAGCUCCGGGAGCUGCUGCUCAGGUUUGGUCCUUUUGGGCUUGGCUCAGGCACCCCCAGAGCAGAGCAUCCCCAGGGUGCUGAUCCCACAGGGACAUUCCCAUGGCUGUCCUGGUGGUGGCUGAUCCCACAGGGACAUUCCCCAUGGCUGUCCUGGUGGUGGCUGAUCCCACAGGGACAUUCCCAUGGCUGGUGGCUGAUCCCACAUGGACAUUCCCAUGGCUGGGUGCUGAUCCCACGGGAACAUUCCCCAUGGCUGGUGGCUGAUCCCACAGGAACAUUCCCAUGGCUGUCCCGGCGGCGGUGGCAGGAGAGGAGCCCGUUGUUCCCGGGGUGGGUGGCGAGGGGCAGGGCUGCGCUGUCGGGUGGGACUUGGGGGGGUUUCUCUCGUGGCUUUAGUAGAGCUGGAGCUGCAGCUUCAUCCUCAGUGCCUGGCCCAGCUCCCCCGCCAAGUAGUCGAGGUGGUUGUUGGCCUCGAGUUUGUGCAGUUCCCGCCGGCGGGGCAGGGCCACGCUGACGAUCUCCAGCAGGUAGGUGCCCGGCAGGAUUUUCUUGCGGCCCAGGUGCAGGAAGCUGAGCCCUUCCUUGUGGUGGAUGCGGAACAGCCCCUCCUCGUUGCCCUGGGAGAUGGUGUAGCGCACGCGGUUCUCCAGCGGCUCCACGGCCGGCAGCAGCUCCAGGAUGUGCUCCUUGUGGGCCAGCUCCGACAGGUUCAGGGUCAUGGACAGCGGCGCGUCCACGUCCAUGCUGGCCAAGUUCACAGCGUGCUCCUGACAAGGAUUUAGGGAGGGCAGGGAAAGCUCAGAGGCAGGGGAAGGUGGGCUUGGUUUAGGGAAAUUCAGCCCCAAAUCAACGCUGAGAAGCGACAGCUUUGGGUUUCUUGGUGUGCUGGUGGCACUGAACUCCCAGCACACAGCCCCCAUCCCUGGGAAAGAUCCAUAACUUCAGGACCAUUCUCCUUCCAAGCCCUAAAAUCACCUCUUCUGCCCAGGGCUGUGAAAUUCCCAGGAGAGUUUUGGACAGAGGUCAGAACUCCCUCUGAAGGAGCAGCACCAUGGAAUGGUUUGGGUUGAAAGGGACCUUAAAAAGUCUUGUUCCAGCCCCUCGGGACACCUCCCACUAACCCAGGUCACCCCAAGCCCUGUCCAGCCUGGCCUUGGACACUUCCAGGGAUGGGAAACGUGGGUUUUAUUCCUUGGUUUCACAAGAAGGGUUUGGGGAUGCCAAACCUGGGCAGAUAUGGAUGAGCUGCUGGCUCUGCCUGGACUGAGGGAAUGGGAUCCCCUCCAGGCCUCUAUUCCUGAAGAUCCAGCCUCGCCCCAUCCCCUGCAGGAUGCCCUGGGUUUCUCACCUGGUGCCUCUCUGUGCCGUUGACGCUGCGCCGCUGCCGGCCCCUCUUGGGGUACCCGUUGAUCUUGCACUCGUAGCAGGUCUCGGGGGACAGCAGGUUGUCCUCAUCCUCCUCCUGGGGCGCAGGCAGGUAGGGACCCUUCCCAAAUCCCAAGCCAGAAAUGCAG
ensembl:lncRNA